rnacentral:tRNA from 1 species
GGGCCGUUAGCUCAACCGCGCAGAGCAGCCGGCUUUUACCCGGCGGGUUCGGGGUUCGAAUCCCUGGCGGCCCAC